AUUGAACGCUGGCGGCAGGCCUAACACAUGCAAGUCGAACGAGUGGCGGACGGGUGAGUAAUGUCUGGGAAACUGCCCGAUGGAGGGGGAUAACUACUGGAAACGGUAGCUAAUACCGCAUACUAUCAGAUGAGCCUAGGUCGGAUUAGCUAGUUGGUGGGGUAAAGGCCUACCAAGGCGACGAUCCGUAACUGGUCUGAGAGGAUGAUCAGUCACACUGGAACUGAGACACGGUCCAGACUCCUACGGGAGGCAGCAGUGGGGAAUAUUGCACAAUGGGCGCAAGCCGGAUGCAGCCAUGCCGCGUGUAUGAAGAAGGCCUUCGGGUUGUAAAGUACUUUCAGCGAGGAGGCGUUACUCGCAGAAGAAGCACCGGCUAACUCCGUGCCAGCAGCCGCGGUAUAC
rnacentral:rRNA from 1 species